UACAGAGUUGCAAAACUCCCACAACCAUCGCGAACGUUACCCACAACUAUUAUCUCAUGGUCUCCUCUGAGUACAGCACAUAAUAAGUUAAAACUUUCAACAACGGAUCUCUUGGUUCUGGCAUCGAUGAAGAACGCAGCGAAAUGCGAUAAGUAAUGUGAAUUGCAGAAUUCAGUGAAUCAUCGAAUCUUUGAACGCACAUUGCGCCCGCCAGUAUUCUGGCGGGCAUGCCUGUUCGAGCGUCAUUUCAACCAUCAAGCCCCCCGGGCUUGUGUUGGGGCCCUGCGGCUGCCGCAGGCCCUGAAAAGCAGUGGCGGGCUCGCUAGUCACACCGAGCGUAGUAGACUCACAAUCUCGCUCAGGGCGUGCAGCGGGCUGCUUGCCGUAAAACAACCCAAACCAUUCAAGGUUGACCUCGGAUCAGGUAGGAAUACCCGCUGAACUUAAGCAUAUCAAUAAGCGGAGGAAAAGAAACCAACAGGGAUUGCCCUAGUAACGGCGAGUGAAGCGGCAACAGCUCAAAUUUGAAAUCUGGCGCAAGCCCGAGUUGUAAUUUGUAGAGGAUGCUCUUGGUGCGGUACCCACCGAGUCCCCUGGAACGGGGCGCCAUAGAGGGUGAGAGCCCCGUAUGGUGGGACGCCAAUCCGGUGCAGAGCUCCUUCGACGAGUCGAGUAGUUUGGGAAUGCUGCUCUAAAUGGGAGGUAAAUUUCUUCUAAAGCUAAAUAUUGGCCAGA
rnacentral:rRNA from 1 species